AUCCUUUUAUAGUUCAUAAGCAUGAUGACUGAGUGUUCACGCUUUCAUGUGACGUGUGCCUCUCUCAAACCUUGUUACGAUGUUGACACAUUACCUGUCUGACU